UGCCAGCAGCGCGGUAAUACGGAGGGGGUUAGCGCUGUUCGGAAUUAUUGGGCGUAAAGCGCGUGUAGGCGGUUCGUUAAGUCUGAUGUGAAAGCCCGGGGCUCAACCCCGGAAGUGCGUUGGAUACUGGCAGUCUUGAGUAUGGGAGAGGAAAGUGGAAUUCCGAGUGUAGGAGUGAAAUCCGUAGAUAUUCGGAGGAACACCAGUGGCGAAGGCGGCUUUCUGGACCAAUACUGACGCUGAGAUGCGAAAGCGUGGGGAGCGAACAGGAUUAGAUA
rnacentral:rRNA from 1 species